GGCGGCGUGCCUAAUACAUGCAAGUCGAGCGAGCGGAACUAACAGAUUUACUUCGGUAAUGACGUUAGGAAAGCGAGCGGCGGAUGGGUGAGUAACACGUGGGGAACCUGCCCCAUAGUCUGGGAUACCACUUGGAAACAGGUGCUAAUACCGGAUAAGAAAGCAGAUCGCAUGAUCAGCUUUUAAAAGGCGGCGUAAGCUGUCGCUAUGGGAUGGCCCCGCGGUGCAUUAGCUAGUUGGUAAGGUAAAGGCUUACCAAGGCGAUGAUGCAUAGCCGAGUUGAGAGACUGAUCGGCCACAUUGGGACUGAGACACGGCCCAAACUCCUACGGGAGGCAGCAGUAGGGAAUCUUCCACAAUGGACGCAAGUCUGAUGGAGCAACGCCGCGUGAGUGAAGAAGGUUUUCGGAUCGUAAAGCUCUGUUGUUGGUGAAGAAGGAUAGAGGUAGUAACUGGCCUUUAUUUGACGGUAAUCAACCAGAAAGUCACGGCUAACUACGUGCCAGCAGCCGCGGUAAUACGUAGGUGGCAAGCGUUGUCCGGAUUUAUUGGGCGUAAAGCGAGCGCAGGCGGAAGGAUAAGUCUGAUGUGAAAGCCCUCGGCUUAACCGAGGAACUGCAUCGGAAACUGUUUUUCUUGAGUGCAGAAGAGGAGAGUGGAACUCCAUGUGUAGCGGUGGAAUGCGUAGAUAUAUGGAAGAACACCAGUGGCGAAGGCGGCUCUCUGGUCUGCAACUGACGCUGAGGCUCGAAAGCAUGGGUAGCGAACAGGAUUAGAUACCCCUGGUAGUCCAUGCCGUAAACGAUGAGUGCUAAGUGUUGGGAGGUUUCCGCCUCUCAGUGCUGCAGCUAACGCAUUAAGCACUCCGCCUGGGGAGUACGACCGCAAGGUUGAAACUCAAAGGAAUUGACGGGGGCCCGCACAAGCGGUGGAGCAUGUGGUUUAAUUCGAAGCAACGCGAAGAACCUUGCCAGGUCUUGACAUCUAGUGUCAUUUGUAGAGAUACAAAGUUCCCUUCGGGGACGCUAAGACAGGUGGUGCAUGGCUGUCGUCAGCUCGUGUCGUGAGAUGUCGGGUUAAGUCCCGCAACGAGCGCAACCCUUGUUAUUAGUUGCCAGCAUUAAGUUGGGCACUCUAAUGAGACUGCCGGUGACAAACCGGAGGAAGGUGGGGAUGACGUCAAGUCAUCAUGCCCCUUAUGACCUGGGCUACACACGUGCUACAAUGGGCAGUACAACGAGAAGCGAGCCUGCGAAGGCAAGCGAAUCUCUGAAAGCUGUUCUCAGUUCGGACUGCAGUCUGCAACUCGACUGCACGAAGCUGGAAUCGCUAGUAAUCGCGGAUCAGCACGCCGCGGUGAAUACGUUCCCGGGCCUUGUACACACCGCCCGUCACACCAUGGGAGUCUGCAAUGCCCAAAGCCGGUGGCCUAACCUUCGGGAAGGAGCCGUCUAAGGCAGGGCAGAUGACUGGGGUGAAGUCAUAACA
rnacentral:rRNA from 1 species